UCAGCAAAACCUUCUCAAAUACUGAAUAUUGCAGACUCCUCUGAGCUCAAUGUCUGAGCCUCCCCUGGUUCCAUGGACCCUCACUCACCCUGUCCAGAUCUGUGCAGAAGUAAAGGGCAGGAUGCAGGAUCUCUUUAAUGGAGAAUAAAAUAGGUGUCAUCUGCCACGGAACCAAAGGUAACAGGCUUGUCUGUGUCUUGUUGUGUGAACACUUGUGGGAUGAGAGCUGGGAACAAGAUCAGGAGGCAUGAGUUAGCAGUUUCCACAUCCCAGAAAAGAUACAACAUUAGCAAUCAUCAAGGACAGCAAGAAAGUGAUUCAGAAAAAGCUUGCAGCCAGAGGAGACAAAGGAGACUUUUGCAGGCUUUUGACUUGCAUGAUACCUCUGAUGAGCAAUCGGGCCCCUCCCUCCCUCCAGAGCUGAAGGUGUGAAGCCCUGAAAAGGCAAGAAGCCGAGCUCGCAAGCUUUUGACUGUUGAUACAUCGGCUGAGCAAUCAGGCCCCUCCCUCCCUCUGCUAAUCUUGAAAGGCGGGAACCAGGGGAGACACAAAAAAACUCAGCACAGACCCAGGAGAUGUUGGAGGCUUGAGGCACGGCCCGUGACACUAACCAUGGAUAUAAUAACCCAUAACUUCUUGGAGUAUGGGGGUUUCCCUCCUUCACCCCCAGCAGAUCAAGGUCACCACUUCAACUGACAGACAUGGAAGCAUCGCUGGACCCCGUGG